GACGAACGCUGGCGGCGUGCUUAACACAUGCAAGUCGAACGGAAAGGCCCUGCUUUUGUGGGGUGCUCGAGUGGCGAACGGGUGAGUAACACGUGAGUAACCUGCCCUUGACUUUGGGAUAACUUCAGGAAACUGGGGCUAAUACCGGAUAGGAGCUCCUGCUGCAUGGUGGGGGUUGGAAAGUUUCGGCGGUUGGGGAUGGACUCGCGGCUUAUCAGCUUGUUGGUGGGGUAGUGGCUUACCAAGGCUUUGACGGGUAGCCGGCCUGAGAGGGUGACCGGCCACAUGGGGACUGAGAUACGGCCCAGACUCCUACGGGAGGCAGCAGUGGGGAAUAUUGCACAAUGGGCGGAAGCCUGAUGCAGCAACGCCGCGUGCGGGAUGACGGCCUUCGAGUUGUAAACCGCUUUCGCCUGUGACGAAGCGUGAGUGACGGUAAUGGGUAAAGAAGCACCGGCUAACUACGCG
rnacentral:rRNA from 1 species